ACCUGGCUGGCUCAGUUGGUAGAAUGUGUGACUCUUGAUCUCAAGGUUGUGAGUUCAAGCCCCACAUUGGGUG
rfam:Felis catus isolate Cinnamon breed Abyssinian chromosome D2, whole genome shotgun sequence.